GAUUACCUGAAAUUCUGGAAUGAAAGCAAACUCGUAUAAAACGCACAAAAUCGUCGGUUAGAAAGAACGAGGAGGUAGUAUAUUUGAUAAAAAUAUGCAACAAAUCCAAUGAAGCUAAACAGUUAAAAAGAUUAACAAGGUUUUCGGGUAAAAUAACUUGUUUAGAAGAUUUUAGCUCAUUAACACCUUUACCCAAUAUUUUGAGAUAUGAAUAAAUGUCUCCAACUUCGUUUUCAACCAGAACUUUGUUUAAUAGUGAUA